rnacentral:rRNA from 1 species
UACGGAGGGGAGCUAGCGUUGUUCGGAAUUACUGGGCGUAAAGCGCACGUAGGCGGCUAUUCAAGUCAGAGGUGAAAGCCCGGGGCUCAACCCCGGAACUGCCUUUGAAACUAGGUAGCUAGAAUCUUGGAGAGGUCAGUGGAAUUCCGAGUGUAGAGGUGAAAUUCGUAGAUAUUCGGAAGAACACCAGUGGCGAAGGCGGACUGACUGGACAAGUAUUGACGCUGAGGUGCGAAAGCGUGGGGAGCAAACAGG